rnacentral:misc_RNA from 1 species
AAGUCGUAACAAGGUUUCCGUAGGUGAACCUGCGGAAGGAUCAUUAGAAUGAGAGCCGGACCAUGUCGUGGGCGAAAGCCCAAACGUGCCAGUAAGCGCCCGUAAACCCUCCCCCUUGUAUAUUAUUCUUUGUUGCUUUGGGGGGCCCGCAAAGGCCCUUCCGGGUGAGCACCGGCUUCGGCUGGAGAGUGCCUGCCAGGAGGCACCCUAACUCUGUAAUUUAGUGAUGUCUGAGUACUAUUAAACUAGUUAAAAU